rnacentral:lncRNA from 1 species
CAGGCAGGGCUGGGUUAGCCAUGGGGCUAAGAGGGCAGCCUGCAGGCUGGCAUAUAUUAGGCCUGGAUGGAGGCCUACAUCGGUUCAGUGUCAAUUUGUAGCCCAUGUCUUGUUUGUUACCACAUCUCUAUACUCCACAUCUCUAUACUCUAUACUCCACAUCUCUAUACUCCACAUCUCUAUACUCUAUACUCCACAUCUCUAUACUCCACAUCUCUAUACUCCACAUCUCUAUACUCUAUACUCCACAUCUCUAUACUCCACAUCUCUAUACUCUAUACUCCACAUCUCUAUACUCCACAUCUCUAUACUCUAUACUCUAUACUCUAUACUCCAAAUCUCUAUACUCCACAUCUCUAUACUCCACAUCUCUAUACUCUAUACUCCACAUCUCUAUACUCCACAUCUCUAUACUCCACAUCUCUAUACUCUAUACUCCACAUCUCUAUACUCCACAUCUCUAUACUCUAUACUCCACAUCUCUAUACUCUAUACUCCACAUCUCUAUACUCCACAUCUCUAUACUCCACAUCUCUAUACUCUAUACUCCACAUCUCUAUACUCCACACUCUAUACUCCACAUCUAUAUACUCUAUACUCCACAUCUCUAUACUCCACAUCUCUAUACUCUAUACUCCACAUCUCUAUACUCCACAUCUCUAUACUCCACAUCUCUAUACUCUAUACUCCACAUCUCUAUACUCUAUACUCCACAUCUCUAUACUCUAUACUCCACAUCUCUAUACUCCACACUCUAUACUCCACAUCUCUAUACUCCACAUCUCUAUACUCUAUACUCCACAUCUCUAUACUCCACAUCUCUAUACUCCACAUCUCUAUACUCUAUACUCCACAUCUCUAUACUCCACAUCUCUAUACUCCACAUCUCUAUACUCUAUACUCCACAUCUCUAUACUCCACAUCUGUAUACUCCACAUCUCUAUACUCUAUACUCCACAUCUCUAUACUCCACAUCUCUAUACUCUAUACUCCACAUCUCUAUACUCUAUACUCCACAUCUCUAUACUCCACAUCUCUAUACUCCACAUCUCUAUACUCUAUACUCCACAUCUCUAUACUCCACAUCUCUAUACUCCACAUCUCUAUACUCUAUACUCUGUACUCCAUGUCUCUGUACCUACUCGUUAACUCCCUCCAAAGGAACUCCCUCCCCAAAAGUCUGUCCCUCUUCAUCUCUGCUUCUCUGCGUCUUCAUCUCAAUCCCGUUUCGAUGGUUUAUUGGAAAACUAUUCAC